GUACUCACUUUGGCAGCACAUAUUCUAAAAAAUAGAAUGAUACAGAGAAGACUAGCAUGGCCCCUGUGCAAGUAUGACAUGCAAAUUCUUGAAGCGUUCCAUAUUUAA